AUAGUGGCCGGGGGCGGGAGGCUGGCGCCUCCCAGCUUCUGUACUCCGCGAAGCAAAACCUAGGGAGCGGAGGCCUAGGCGAGGCGAGAGUCGCCGGCGUGCGUAACGUUGGCGCACAUGACUCCGGCCCGGCCUACAGGGCGCGUGCGCAGUGGGACUUGAGAGCCUUCUGGUCCGUCUGCCGGCAUUCGCGGCUGCGGGGCCCGGAGGUGGGACUGGUUUCCUGGUGCCGCGAGGGCGGGUCCGGACAGCCUUCCCCGCAGUCCGGCGCACCAUCUCCCUGCCUUGUGGCUGGAGGCGCCGCGGACCCAAAGGGAGGGACCAUCCCGGGAAGCAGCCCCGAGAGCGGAAGUGCAGAAUGGCUUCCUCGAGAGAGUAAAGUGCAGCCUCUCCAGACACUGGGGCCCAGGUGGGCGUGGGCGAAGGUAAUCCAGGCCUGGGUACGAUCCCGGGCCCUCCUUCGACUUCCCAGUGGUUGCUGGUAGGAGGAGUUGGCGGAAGCACUUGGAACUCCUUUAUUUUAAUUUGAUUUGAAAAUGAGUAAGUGCAGAAAGACACCAGUUCAGCAGCUAGCAAGUCCCGCGUCAUUCAGCCCAGAUACUCUUGCUGACAUUUUUGAACUCUUUGCCAAGAACUUUUCUUAUGGCAAGCCACUUAAUAAUGAGUGGCAGUUACCAGAUCCCAGUGAGAUUUUCACCUGUGACCACACUGAAUUUAAUGCAUUUCUUGAUUUGAAGAACUCCCUAAAUGAAGUAAAAAACCUACUGAGUGAUAAGAAACUGGAUGAGUGGCAUGAGCACACUGCUUUCACUAAUAAAGCAGGGAAAAUCAUUUCUCAUGUUAGAAAAUCUGUGAAUGCUGAACUUUGUACUCAAGCAUGGUGUAAGUUCCAUGAGAUUUUGUGCAGCUUUCCACUUAUUCCACAGGAAGCUUUUCAGAAUGGAAAACUGAAUUCUCUACACCUUUGUGAAGCUCCAGGAGCUUUUAUAGCUAGUCUCAACCACUACUUAAAAUCCCAUCGGUUUCCUUGUCAUUGGAGUUGGGUAGCGAAUACUCUGAAUCCAUACCAUGAAGCAAAUGACGACCUCAUGAUGAUUAUGGAUGACCGGCUUAUUGCAAAUACCUUGCACUGGUGGUACUUUGGUCCAGAUAACACUGGUGAUAUCAUGACCCUGAAAUUCUUGACUGGACUUCAGAAUUUCAUAAGCAGCAUGGCUACUGUUCACUUGGUCACUGCAGAUGGGAGUUUUGAUUGCCAAGGAAACCCAGGUGAACAAGAAGCUUUAGUUUCUUCUUUGCAUUACUGUGAAGUUGUCACUGCUCUGACCACUCUCGGAAACGGUGGCUCUUUUGUUCUAAAGAUGUUCACUAUGUUCGAACAUUGUUCCAUAAACUUGAUGUACCUGCUAAACUGUUGUUUUGACCAAGUCCAUGUUUUCAAACCUGCUACUAGCAAGGCAGGAAACUCCGAAGUCUAUGUGGUUUGCCUCCACUAUAAGGGGAGAGAGGCCAUCCAUCCUCUGUUAUCUAAGAUGACCUUGAAUUUUGGGACUGAAAUGAAAAGGAAAGCCCUUUUUCCCCAUCAUGUGAUUCCUGAUUCUUUUCUUAAGAGACAUGAAGAAUGUUGUGUGUUCUUUCAUAAAUAUCAGCUAGAGACUAUUUCUGAAAACAUUCGUCUAUUUGAGUGCAUGGGAAAGGCGGAACAAGAAAAGCUGAAUAAUUUAAGGGAUUGUGCUGUACAAUAUUUUAUGCAAAAAUUUCAACUGAAACAUCUUUCCAGAAAUAAUUGGCUAGUAAAAAAAUCUAGUAUUGGUUGUAGUACAAAUACAAAAUGGUUUGGGCAGAGGAACAAAUAUUUUAAAACUUAUAAUGAAAGGAAGAUGCUAGAAGCCCUUUCAUGGAAAGAUAAAGUAGCCAAAGGAUACUUUAAUAGUUGGGCUGAAGAACAUGGUGUAUAUCAUCCUGGGCAGAGUUCUAUUUUAGAAGGAACAGCUUCCAAUCUUGAGUGUCACUUAUGGCAUAUUUUGGAGGGAAAGAAACUGCCAAAGGUAAAAUGUUCUCCUUUUUGCAAUGGUGAAAUUUUAAAAACUCUUAAUGAAGCAAUUGAAAAGUCAUUAGGAGGAGCUUUUAAUUUGGAUUCCAAGUUUAGGCCAAAACAGCAGUAUUCUUGUUCUUGUCAUGUUUUUUCUGAAGAACUGAUCUUUUCCGAGUUGUGUAGCCUUACUGAGUGCCUUCAGGAUGAGCAGGUUGUAGAACCCAGCAGUCAAAUAAAGUGCCUGCUGGUGGGCUUUUCGACUCUCCGUAGUAUCAAAACGCAUAUACCGUUGGAAGUUCGACUCCUAGAAUCAGCUGAACUCACAACUUUUAGCUGUUCAUUGCUUCAUGAUGGAGAUCCAACUUACCAGCGUUUAUUUUUGGACUGCCUUCUACAUUCAUUGCGGGAGCUUCAUACAGGAGAUGUUAUGAUUUUGCCUGUACUUUCUUGCUUCACAAGAUUUAUGGCUGGUUUGAUCUUUGUACUCCACAGUUGUUUUAGAUUCAUCACUUUUGUUUGUCCCACAUCCUCUGAUCCCCUGAGGACCUGCGCAGUCCUGCUAUGUGUUGGUUAUCAGGACCUUCCAAAUCCAGUUUUCCAAUAUUUGCAGAGUGUGAAUGAAUUGUUGAGCACUUUGCUCAACUCUGACUCACCCCAGCAGGUUUUACAGUUUGUGCCAAUGGAGGUACUCCUUAAGGGGGCCCUGCUUGAUUUUUUGUGGGAUUUGAAUGCUGCCAUUGCUAAAAGGCAUUUGCAUUUCAUUAUUCAAAGAGAGAGAGAAGAAAUUAUCAACAGCCUUCAGUUACAAAACUGAACAUAUUCUUUCUGAGAUUCAACUUUAUGACUUCUUAUAAUUUGCCCAGUAUUUGCAUCCUGUUGCUCUAUUAAUUUAAAAACCUUUUAUUUUGGGGAAAAGCCAACAUUUGCAUCAUUCAAAGUCUCAUUAAUUCUGGAAAACCAUCCAUUCUGAUCUCUAGGGUAUAUACACCCACAGGCAUAGAGCUCUUCCACGUGGUGGAAUCUAUGCAAUGAUAGAUAUUCACACUCUAAAUAUGAGGUGUGUGUAUGUGUAUGGGUGGCCACAGCCAUGCUUACCUAUGCCAUUUAGUUGGUCUUACUUAAUCUGCUUAAGAUUUGCAUCUGUGUACCUUUGUUCAGAUUAGUUUUUUUUUCCAGCCGAUUUCCUCUUAGUGGCUAAUGCUGUUAGUGAAUUUUCCAACUAAUUUCCUCUCAUUGGUUAAUGUUGUUAAUGAAUUGAGAGAGGUAAUUGAGGAAAGGAAAUUUGUAAAUCACUGUUAAGCAACACUGAUUUCCGUUAACACAUCAGUUAUGAAUUUCAGGGAAUUCAUCUCGCCAGAUUCUUGAUAACAUGCCAUUCAUUGCCCUUAGGUGAUUGACCCUAUUUUCUUAUAUGGGUCAAAUAAAACUAGUAUGCUGUUGUAUGAAUCUUUUACUGACCACACCAUCCAACUAUAAAAAUAUAACGGGACAGCUUUAAACCAAAGAUCAUGUUUAGAACAAUGAAAAAUUAUUUGUUGUACUUAAUACACGCCUGUAUCGUGAAAAGCUUCAUUUAGCAAUGAUGUAAUAAUUUUUAACUUCCAGGAAAUAAUCUGUGAAUGGAAAGAUUUUUUAAGAUUUUGAGAUAGUGUUUAGUCUCAUGUUGGGAACGCAUGAAUGUGAUGAACAUAGUGAAUACUAAAGAAAACGCUUCAGACUUUCAGAAUGAUGGUUCAGAAUUUAAAAUUUUUAAUCUUUUCUAAUUUCUUUUUUUCAGUGUGAAAAUAGCACUUUACCAAAAGAUUAGCCAUGAAAUGGUUAUUUUGCCAGUUACAUUUGAUUUCUUUUGUAUCUGCAAUGUAAUGAGUUAUUUUAUUUCUUCUGUAUUUGCAGUGUAAUGAGUUUUUGUGGCAAAGUGUAUUAAGCAAUUUUUCAUUAUCUUGAAGUUCCACAAAGUGGAGAAUAUUUAUAUUCUCACAUGCAUUUUAGGCACUUUUGAUAUGUGAAAAUAGAUGUAUUUUCUGAUGCAUUUGGUUAAUAUUAAUCUGAAAAUUUUCAUGUUCUUUGCUAUUUUGAAUUCCAUUAUAGAUUCAUGAAUAAAGUCAUUACUAGAGA